rnacentral:rRNA from 1 species
UGGGGAAUUUUGGACAAUGGGCGAAAGCCUGAUCCAGACACUGCCGCGUGUGUGAAGAAGGCCUUCGGGUUGUAAAGCACUUUUGUCCGGAAAGAAAUCCUUGGCUCUAAUACAGUCGGGGGAUGACGGUACCGGAAGAAUAAGCACCGGCUAACUACGUGCCAGCAGCCGCGGUAAUACGUAGGGUGCAAGCGUUAAUCGGAAUUACUGGGCGUAAAGCGUGCGCAGGCGGUUUGCUAAGACCGAUGUGAAAUCCCCGGGCUCAACCUGGGAACUGCAUUGGUGACUGGCAGGCUAGAGUAUGGCAGAGGGGGGUAGAAUUCCACGUGUAGCAGUGAAAUGCGUAGAGAUGUGGAGGAAUACCGAUGGCGAAGGCAGCCCCCUGGGCCAAUACUGACGCUCAUGCACGAAAGCGUGGGGAGCAAACAGGAUUAGAUACCCUGGUAGUCCACGCCCUAAACGAUGUCAACUAGUUGUUGGGAUUCAUUUCCUAGUAACGUAGCUAACGCGUGAAGUUGACCGCCUGGGGAGUA